AGUGGGAUAGCUGGGUCAAAUGGUGGUUCUAGUCCAAGUUUUCUAAGGAAUCUCCAUACUGCUUUCCAGAUUUGGUUACAACAAUUUGCAGUCCUACCAGCAAU
rnacentral:pre_miRNA from 1 species